rnacentral:lncRNA from 1 species
CCGAAGCCCCGGGGCGGCGCCCCUCCGCCCGGCCGCGCUCCAGGCCCAGAUGCCGGACGCCGCGCUCAGGACACAGACCCCACUCUGCAGCAGCCUGCCGCUGCCGGCAGCCAGGGCCUCCUUCCAACUCCAGCGCAAAUUUUUCGAACGUAAGAGAAGAAUACAGUCAUUAUCGGAGGUGGAGACAUUCAGAAGUUGUUCUUAAUCAGAGUGAAGCUUGUGCUUUGGAAAGUCAGCCUCACGCCUCAGCACGCACAGCAGCUGGUUCUCCAGGUUCCUCCUGGAUGAAGAAUUAGUUUCCAGCCCCCCUUUACCCUCUGACAAGUUGGAAGGAUACGUCAGCAUCUCUUAAAAGACUAGGAAGGUCAGAUUGGGGAGGGGUAUGAGCAAAUCCUCUCUACCAAUAUGAAUUUUUGUGAAAUUCACACAAAACGGGAGGAGGUCAACAAGCUGUGGGUCCUGAAGGUUUUUUGCAUAUCUGGGUAGGAGGUUUGACCUCAAGAGAUUUCUGCUGUACACUUUUGUAACUGGUUUGACAUAUUUCGGCUCCAACUUUGCAUCCUGAGAACACUUAAACGUUUCUGCAGGCUCAUUUUAUACAACCUGAAAGAGCUUAAAAGUUUCUGGUUGCCACAAGCAUAUCUUUCUUUUCUGCACAUCCAAGAGACAGCUGUGCCCUGCUGGGAUAGAUUUUCCAAACAAAAAUACCCGGAGCAGCAGUUUGGGAAAUAUGCCUUCAGCGGCGCUCCACAGAUGGGGUUUCCGGAAGCACAGUACUAGAGAUCUGGUGUUGCCUGGUCCUGCCGGAGCCCUCCGGCCCAUCACCUCCUGCCAGCCUUCCAUGCGUACCUUGCCAUGAAAAGGGAAAGAAGCUGUUUCCAAAUUCGUGAUGAAUCUUACAAUCAAUGGUAUCUGCACAAGUGUCUGUACUUUCCAAAUACAUUGAAUAAGCUCCUUUUAACUUCUUUCUUUCUUUACUGAGACCCCACAAGAGAGUGUGUUAAUCACAUUAAUAUUAUUGGUACUAGAACCGUGACCUAAGCUUACAAGUCACCUUCAAACAAAUUUUAUGCAGCCAAGAAUUAGGCUUUAACUGCCACCAUAAAGCUUGCCUUAAGGGAAAACACUCUUGAUAAAAAUCUAAAUACACGCAAAUCAAAGAGUCUACUUUUCCACUGCAAUUAUUUGUCUCAGUUUCUCAGUAGUAACUAAUCUGCUAAUUAGAACUAACAAACCUUGGAUUCUGAAAUGGACUUCCAAAGUUUUUGUGCAACUAAAUGACCAGCAAUAAAGGACCUGGCUGUAAUUGCAAAGCUGAAUUAUUAACACAUGCUCUUCUUUUCUUUAUUCUGGAAAAUGUAAAGUUUUGCCCCAAUUUAGGAUGCCUAAUCAGCUGUUAUAAAAGUUUCUUGAUCAAAAAAUUGGUUUAUAUUUUGGAUUUUAUCUGAAAUAAUAUAAAUAUGACUUGGUAUAAUGAAAGAGUAAUGAUUGAAAUAAUUGACAUUAACCAUGAUUCCAUAGAUUUGAGGGUCUGCCUUGUUUUGUAAACCUGGUCAUCAAUUCUCCUGAACGUUAUCAGUUAAAAAACAGAAAAAAGAUAUGACCAUUUUACAAAGACAACUAUCCAACUAAGGACCUUGGGUUCUGAAUCAAAUGUCUCUCCUCCAGUAUAAGAAAGACCGAUCCAGGUAGAAGUGUCUGUAUGAAGAGACAUACAUAUAUAAAUUAAGAGACAUACAUAUAUAAAUGCUGUGAUUUUUGCUAUAUAUGUAAAUGUAAUAAAAACUGUAUCAUUCUUGGGGUAUCGUUAACCAUUAAAGUCCAAAUUCAGACUUGACCGAGUGAAGAGAAAUCGUAAGCAAUUAUCCAGCAGUGGGAAAAGACAGAACUCGGCACUGCAAAAUCUGGGGUGAAGUCCCUACUCAGUCCCUUAUUAACUCAGAGAACUUGGGUUAGUCACCUAAUCCCUCUAAGGCUCAUUUUCCACAUCUGUCAAUUAAGAAUAAUAUGUUGCUUGAGAGGGUGUUUGGGGAUUCAAAUGACAUAAUGGAAACGUAUAUACUUUGUAAAUUAUAAAAUGCUCUACAAAUGUUAUUUAAAGACAUUUAAAAAAAUAAAAUCUGAGACAACUUCCUG